UACGGGGGGAGCAAGCGUUGUUCGGAUUUACUGGGCGUAAAGGGCGCGUAGGCGGUCAGCACAAGUCAGUUGUGAAAUCUCAGGGCUUAACUCGGAAAGGUCAACUGAUACUGUGCGACUAGAGUGCAGAAGGGGCAACUGGAAUUCUCGGUGUAGCGGUGAAAUGCGUAGAUAUCAGGAAGAACACCCGUGGCUAAGGCGGCUCUCUAGUACGGUACUGACGCUGAGACGCGAAAGCGUGGGGAGCGAACAGG
rnacentral:rRNA from 1 species